rnacentral:sRNA from 1 species
AUGAAUGCUUUCAACCUGUGUUAAAAUUCUUGGAUCCACAAUGAAUAGUUGGGAAAUUUGCAAAUUCACUCUUCAAUAUUGGACUAAAUGACCAUUUAAAAAAAAAAAAAAAAAAAAAAGAGAGAGAGACUAAAUGAGAGGGCUUCUUUUCUAUUCAAAAAAAGAAAAAAGAAAAAAAGAGAGGAGUUCUGAAAUAAACAAAGAAUUAGACAAUAGGUUAUAGCACGCCAAUAAGUUGAUUGAUUACGAGAAUGAUUUGAUUUGGGGCUAUGUGGAUGCCCCACAAAGGGGGGGAAAAAAGGCUGAUUUAGGGCUUUUUCUCUAUUUCUUUUGGUUUAUCGCACAUUGGGUCCUUAACAAUAUGACUUUUUGUAUGCUUGUGUUUCUAGGGUGAUGUUUGUGAGUUCAUUUUUCUUAUUUUCAUUUUAGGAAUCACCACAAACUAUUGGUUUUUUAUUAGGUGUGAGUGGUCAUCUAUUUGUCUAAUUCUUUUUAAGUUACCUAAUUAACAAAACUAAUUUUAAGGAUUUAUUAAUUAAGGUAAAUCAAAAGUCUCGAACAAAAGUUUUUGGACUCAGAAGUUCGGUUACGUGUGGGGAAGGUGUUAGGCACCUCACAAUGUCUAUUCAAAAGAUUGUACCUUAUUUUAAUUUAAUUCAAACAUUAUAUUUUGGUAAAGAAAUAAGAUACUUGGCAUUUUAAUUUUUGAAAAAGUUUUGCACAACCAACACACACACACACACACUCAGAUGUGUGUAUGUGUAUACAUACAUACAUACAUACAUGUGAGUAUCUAUUUACUUAUAGUAUACCAUGUGAGUAUUUAAGUCAAAGAAUAUUUACAAUCAAAACAUGUGAGAUAUAUACAUAAAUAGUAUGUGAGGGAUAUUUAGCAAAAAAUAACAUAUACAAUAGCAUGUGAGUAUUUAUUUACUAUGUAACUAACACGUGAAUAUUAAAUAUUAUACAAGAAUAAAUUACAACGUAAAAAUAAAAUAAGAGAGUUGGAAGGAAAGCACCUUGCUGUCACCAACCUUGCUUUCUCAUUCCUACCAUGCAAAAAAAAGAUGACAUUGGAAAUGUACUAGUGCCACAGAAAAGGAAGGGACUGUAUAAGCUUUGAUUAGUGCCUAUUGGUUCAAUGGAAUUGAACAAUAGGCCCAAAUCCCUAAAUAUGCAAUCCUAAGGAACGUUUUAAAUAACAAUGCAUGAGCAAGUUUGAAAAAGAAAUUAUUCUUUUAGAAAAUGUUAGUUUUACUAUAUUUUAUUUUAAAAGAAAAGUUUGGAAAGAACACAAUUUUUUAGAAAGAUUUUGUUUUGAAAAGAGGAGGUUUUGGAAAAAGCUACUUUCAUCAUUUCUGGAAGAAAAUAUUUAUUUUGAACAAGCAAAGAUUUGAAAAAAAAAAAAGGAAAUUAGUCUUCAUUUUUUUUAAAGAAUUUUUUUUAAAAUUCCAUAGAAACCGAAAAUUUUGAGAAAAAAAAAUUAUUUUCUUUGUAAAGAAAAGCAUUAAUUUUAAGAAGAACAAAGAAAAGAGAUUUUUUUUUUUUUUUUAAGAUUCGUGGAUUUACUAUUUUUUUUUUAAGGAAAAAAGGUUAUAGCUUUUAAAAGUACUCAUAAUUUUAUUUGAGAAAAUAUUUGGAGGAAAAAGCUUUGAUUUAGAAAAUAUUAUAUACUACUAUAUAUAAUAGCAGAAGCUUUUACCAGGUACUGACACGUAAGGUAAAAUGACCCCUUAAAAGGUUGACACAUAUAUAACUUUAAGUUAAAAGAGCCGCACGUUGCAUCGUUUCAAUAAUCUUAAAAUUUUAACUUUUAUUUCUAUAACACCAUUUGAAAGCAUCUCACUAUGCCUGUGUUUGGAUUGCACUUAAAGUUGCGGCACGUUUUAUGAUUCACGUUUUCUGCUUUUUUUUUUUUUUUUUUUUUUUUUUUUCCCGCUUUUUUUUNUUUUUUUUUUUUUUUUUUUUCUGCCGGCUUUUUUGACUUUGGAGACAAAAAUUUACUGUGCAUAUACUGUAUGUGCACUGUUCACGUCGUGUUCAUGCACUGUUCACGCAAUAUUUAAUAUUAAAAGUGGGUCUCAUAACACUAUUUACACAUUUAAAAAUUAUUUUGCUACAGUGUUUUCAGCAACAAUCAGUUUUUAGCAACUUUCAGCAACAAUAAAUGCUAUCCAAACAGACCCUAUAAAUAAAAAAGUAAAAGACUCAAACCAAACGUUAGACAAAAAAAGCUUCCGCUGUUUCCAUUCAUUAAACACAAGCCGGCCAAAAGAAAAACCCUUCCUUGCCAAUUUGCUUUGCAGUUUGCCCUUUGUUCUGUUUCCUCUCUGCAACAGAGUGCAAACUUGCCCACUUAGAUUUCUGCCAUCAAGUUAGUUUAGAGCCACAAGAGAACGAUCGUUACAUCGUUUGAAGAUUCUUUUAAUAAUCGUUUGGAAUCAGCCGAUAUAGAAGGAGAGAGGACGUUAGAGAGACGGUAAGUCUGAAUAAACAGUUCUGUCAUCACCGUUAGGGCCUCCGCCCAUAAGUUCUGUUUUUAAUUUUACAAAUUGGGGUUUUUUUUUUGGGAGAAUCAUUUGGGCGUUAUUUAUGAUUCGGGUAUUUUGGUUUGAUCGGUUAUGAUUUAGGUUUUUCGGUUAGGAGUAGUUUUGUUUAAUUUAUGUAGAUAGACGGGUUAGAUUUGGUUUAGUCUCUUACCCUAUUGUCUUCUUUAGGUUUGCUGUCAAUUUAGGGAUUUGAAAUCAGGGAAACAACCUAGAAAAUCAAAUUCUAAAUGAAUUGUUAUUAGGAAUUUUUAGUUUUUGGGUUUUGUAUCAAAUUCUAACUGAAUUGUUAUUAGGAAUUUUCAGUUUUCUGGGUUUUGUUCCUUUGCUUUCAUGAAUUUCAAUUUCAUAUUUUGUUUUGUUUUGUUUUUGCCUAUUUGGGUUGCAUUCGUUUUGGGUAUCUGUUUAAAAUCAACAUGCAUGACUUUUUAUUUAUGUUGUUUUUUUUACAAUUGGUAUUUAUUUCAUUCCUUCUUUCUAUGUUUUUGUUUCUGAUGUUCUCUUUGUUCGUUUUUGUCAAGUUAUUUGAGUGCUUUUUAUUAAAAAAUUAAAAUAAAAUUUAAUAUUUUCCCUUGCAAUUGCAAUUCAUAGGCUGCAGUUUACAGAUCAUAGUGAUUGAGGCAUUGCAUUAGAACGAGUACCAAAUAUUUUGAAAGGUAAGGUUUUACCAAUGUUAAACUUUUAAAAACCCACAUCGGUUCAGUAUGUAACCAGUCUAUCUGCCUUCUUAUAUAGUGUUUCUUCUCUUCAAUUUUUCCCUUUUUUUGUUAUGCUCUUUUUCCUCUGCAGGAAGAAACCCAGUGACGCUUGAUGAGAAAGAACAGAGGCCUGCCUUCACUCGCCUGCCACCACUGGUCAGCCAGUGAAACCACUACCGGUAAAACUGAUUUCUUUCUUUUUUUCCCUUUCAGUUGUACUGCUUUGGAUUUUAUUUCUUAAUCUUCUUCUCCUUUACUAUUAUAGAGUGAAUUGGGGAAUUGAACCUUUAAUUAGCAGUAGUUGGAUUUGAAAUAAACUCAUUCUAUUUUGUAGAAUAGAUUGGGUGAUUACGUUGAUUAUCAUUACUCAUUAGGAUGUUGUUAUCUCAUUAGCCAAUUGUUUUGGCUAUUUUAAUUCUAAUUAGUUUGCUAUUUAAAUUAUUUUUAAUUGGAUGUAAUCCGUAUCAUGGCUGUAUUUUAUACAGAAAAGUGUAGAGAUAAAGAUCAUUAGAAAAAUUAAACCAACACUAUGUCUUUUCUCUCAUUAAGGAGAUUAGACAUCUCAAAUUGACUAAAAUCCUUUGUUCUUUUCAGGUUUCUAAGGAAAUUUUGCAUGCAGGUUACUCAUAUGCAGUCAACGAAUAAUUUUGAUAGAGGAGGUACAGUACUUUGUCCUUAUUUACUGUUGGUAAAUGUAUGAUAUAACACAUAAAGUUGUUAAUCUAAGCAUUUUUUAUAUUCUCUUUUUUUGUGUCUUCAUCAUCAUUGUUGCUGAUGAAGCUUAUUACAAAGCCAGUACCUGUUUUCUUUCUGUUUUCAUUGGUGGAUAGGAUUUUCUUUUUUGUGAAUUUAUGGUUUUCAUUUGGUAAAAGUUUGGGUUUUAAUUAUUACCAAAAUAAGAGGGUGAAAAACUAUUCUCUUUCUUUGAAUAGCGAUCACCUCAAUUUGCAAAAGAAACUCUAAAUUCCACUAUUGGCUACAACCUGCUAAAUCUUCUAAUUGUUGAUGUAUGCUACAAGAUCUCAUGUUACUUCAUUGGUAGAUAGGAUUUUAUUUUUAGCAAAUUUAUGUAUUUCAUUUGGUAUAAGUAUGGGCUUUAAGUUUCUCAAAAAAAAAAAAGUGGAUUUAAAACUGUCCUCUUUCUUUGAAUUUGUUUUCAAUACUAUUAGAUUUUUUGGUAAUUGUAUUGUCAAAGCUAUUCAUAUGUUUUUGUAUUUUAAUUUGCAAUUACCAGUACUUUUUAGUGCCUAUGAUUAUGUUUGAUGAUAAGUUAGAAUUAAAGCUUUUAAUUUUGAAUGUAAAAGUCUAACUUUAUAUAGGUUCUCAAAAAAAAAUAAUUGGGAAACUUUUUUACAACAAUGGAGAGGGGGAUUUGAACCAUGCUUAUCCUAUAAAUUAAAGCAACUACCUUAUGCAAUAAAGAUAUAAAUAUAAUGCAUUUUGGCUAAACUUUGAUGCAUUUUGGGAUGAUACAAUUAUGUAAUUUGAUUUAUGUUAUCAAGAUGUAAUCUACAAUUUUUCAUUGAAAUUUUAUUCAUAAUGUUCUACUUAUACCAAAAGAAUAUGUUCUGCAGAGUGCAAAGGCAGAUAUUAAUGUGGAGAAGGUUUUCUUUUCAAAAGCAAGGGAUAUUAAAUGAAGGCUUGCUAAUACUAAUACCAAGAUUGAGGUAUGUGCACAUUAAUAACUUACUCCAUCAGUAAUUUGACAAGUUCAAGCACACUUUGCAAUUUGGUGUUGGUAUAUAGUGUGUCAUAUAGUUAGAUGAACAGCCUACAUUAAACUUAGAAUUUUUCAAUAUUUACCCAACAUUAAUAUCUAAUUAUGAAAUUCUAUUAAAUGAACGUGUCCUAAAUGGAUUAUAUAGUUAUUUUGUAAUCCAUUCUAAGUUUUGAAACAGUCCAUAUUUAAAAUAAAUAAAAAACAAGUUAACAUACUUAUCACUGCACAGGUGUUCACUAAAGGCCUCUAAUAGGUAAAUUGAUUUCUUAUUCUUAUAUGAUUUAUCUUCUUGAGUGUUGGAGCUUAAAUACUCUAAAACAUUGAAAGAGAAAAUCAAGUAACUAAUGCAGUAGGUGAUUGAUGGGAGAUGUGAUUUGCAAAUUGUCCCACUAUCUACAUUUAUGAAUGUUGAGAAAGAAGACAUUUGAGGUCUUCUGCUUAGGCAAUUGUACUAUCGCAUGCUGUUUUAGGAGCCAUAAUUUAAGAAAAAUGUUUCAUGAAAGUUUCAUUUCAUAUUUGUUAUAAAAAUUCCUUAUUUAAAGCAUUAACAUUUUAAUUUUAUGUUUUAGUUUCAAUUAAAGUGUCUUUUUUUUUUUAAUAAUAUAAUCUACGUUUUAUUUGUCUACUUAAAUAAGGAAAGCAAUUUAUUUUUUAUUAUUAUUUUUUUUUUAUGGUAGUAGGUAGAUGCCUUACAAUUGGUAAACAGCUGAACAUACAUAUACAUUACCCUUACCAAUUUUAGUAUCUUCUACUUGGGUUUUUACCAAAUUUUUCUUUUUUUACUCUUUGAUAUUCCAUGGAAAUUCGGCAAUACCUUAUUAAAAGAUAAGAAAAAUAUGAUUAUAUUCUAAUAGAUACUUUCCUAUGUUUUUUUUUAUUGGAUUUUGUUUUUAAGUAAAAUUUUGAUUGAGAAAUUUUUAUUAGACAUGUUUAAAGGAAAAAGAAAUGAUAAGGGCUAUCUAACACUCAUUCACGUGAUCUAGAUUUUAGAUGGUAGAACUAAUUUCGCAUUAUGUGAUCUUCAUUUGGAAUCGAUUUAACAUUAACAUUUUGUUCUGAAUCUUCUGAUAUGUCCAGGUAUGCAAAAAGAUCCUCAAUGGCUUGGUUGCUUACAAUAUUAGAACCAUAA